rnacentral:rRNA from 1 species
AUUGAACGCUGACGGCAUGCCUUACACAUGCAAGUCGAACGGCAGCACGGGUGCUUGCACCUGGUGGCGAGUGGCGAACGGGUGAGUAAUACAUCGGAACGUACCUUAUCGUGGGGGAUAACGCAGCGAAAGCUGUGCUAAUACCGCAUACGCCCUGAGGGGGAAAGCGGGGGAUCGCAAGACCUCGCGCGAUUAGAGCGGCCGAUGCCUGAUUAGCUUGUUGGUGGGGUAAAAGCCCACCAAGGCGACGAUCAGUAGCUGGUCUGAGAGGACGAUAAGCCACACUGGGACGAAGACUAGGCCCAGGCUCCUAGGGGGGGCAGCAGUGGGGAAUUGUGGACAAUGGGGGCAACCCUGCUCCAGCAAUGCCGCGUGAGUGAAGAAGGCCUUCGGGUUGUAAAGCUCUUUUGUCAGGGAAGAAACACCGGCUCUAACACAGUCCGGGAAUGACGGUACCUGAAGAAUAAGCACCGGCUAACUACGUGCCAGCAGCCGCAGUAA